GUGGUAAGCAUCAAAGCUAAAUACGCAAAGGCACGAGGGCGCGCCCGCAGCUGUCGCUAGGCUAUAGCAGAGCUUAGUGCAGUCGCACUUUACGGUGUGCGU